CCAACUUCAAUUCUUGACUUUCUUCCUAAAAUGAACCAUGCAAGAUGUGUUGACUCUUUGUCUCAUAUGCACCAUACUUCAAGACAACAAUCAUAUGCCUUCCAUAUCAUUCAAAACCGUCCCACCACUCCUUUCCAUGCAGCAAAAACAAAACCACACACCAAGCCACACAAAUUCACGUGAAAAAGGCAAUGUUUGGUGCAAAGAAUGCUUCUAAAAAGUCCACAAGUCAAAGGGUG
rnacentral:lncRNA from 1 species